CUGCGUCCUAAUUUGGAACCGGAGCGAGGACCAGGGAUGAGGCUGCUUCAGCCCUGCUGCUCUUCCUCCCCAGGAGACGCCACAGGUAUAGGUGACCAGGGUACCUGACUUCAUGGUAGGGAAAGGGGCAGACUCACUCUGUCCCUGGCUCCUGGCUGGUCUCUGCUGCAGAAUGGCCUCUCUGUUCCACUCCAGCAAUGGAUCCCACUGAUGCAAGCUAUCCCCUGGUGACUGUGAUGUCGUGAGUGAGGGCCAGUGAGGUGUGAGAGGGUGUCUUCUGGGAUUGUCGGGGAGAGCCUUUGCUUCCUGUUAUGGUAACCAUAGGCAACAGCGUGG